rnacentral:lncRNA from 1 species
AUACUUAAUAUUUUAAUCAAAAUAUUUUUCGAUUGAGAUUAAAUAUAUCUAUCACGAAAUCAACAAUAUGAUUGUUUGAGUGAUCUCUUUCGUGAUUGAGUAGAUCAAAACAUUAUAUGGAUUAUGACGAUGGAUAUAUUGUAUUCAUAUUCGUAAUGUAUAAAUGUAAAGAAAAAUAAAUGAGCUGAGAUGAGUCUCACUCAUUUUUUACGCACAAGAUAAAAGGG